CUGGAGACAGGUGCUGCAUGGCUGUCGUCAGCUCGUGUCGUGAGAUGUUGGGUUAAGUCCCGCAACGAGCGCAACCCUUGCCUUUAGUUGCCAGCAGUUCGGCUGGGCGACUCUAAAGGGACUGCCGGUGUUAAACCGGAGGAAGGUGGGGAGUGACGUCAAGUCCUCCAUGGCCUUUAUGACCAGGGCUACACACGUACUACAAUGGCCGAUACAAAGGGCAGCGACACUGCGAGGUGAAGCCAAUCCCGUAAAAUCGGUCUCAGUCCGGAUUGGAGUCUGCAACUCGACUCCAUGAAGUUGGAAUCGCUAGUAAUCGUGGAUCAGCAUGCCACGGUGAAUACGUUCCCGGGCCUU
rnacentral:rRNA from 1 species